CAGUAGCCACGGUAAAACGGAGGGGGCUAGCGUUGUUCAGAAUUACUGGGCGUAAAGCGCACGUAGGCGGCUUGACAAAUCUUGUGUGAAAUCUAUGGGCUCAACCCAUAGUCUGCACGGGAAACUGUCGGGCUUGAGAAUGGGAGAGGUGAGUGGAAUUUCCGGUGUAGCGGUGAAAUGCGUAGAUAUCGGAAGGAACACCUGUGGCGAAAGCGGCUCACUGGACCAUUUCUGACGCUGAGGCGCGAAAGCGUGGGGAGCAAACAGGAUUAGAUACCCGUGUAGUCCCUGUCUCUUAUAC
rnacentral:rRNA from 1 species